AUGUUUUCUGUAGCUCUGCUGCUGCUGCUGGCAGCUGGAUGUGUGAAGUGCGAACAGUUGACACAGCCAGCCUCUGUGACUGUGCAGCCAGGUCAGAGUCUGACCAUCACCUGUCAGGUCUCUUAUUCUGUUAGCAGCUACUACACAGCCUGGAUCAGACAGCCUGCAGGGAAAGGACUGGAGUGGAUUAUACGAGGUGGUGUGGGAUAUAGCACAUAUACCAAAGAUUCACUGAAGAACCAGUUCAGUAUCAACUUUGACUCUUCCAGCAACACAGUGACUCUGAACGGACUGAAUAUGCAGCCUGCAGACACUGCAGUGUAUUACUGUGCCAGAGAGCCACAGUGAGAGACAAUAACAGGAGAACCAUACAAAAACUCUUCUGACAACAAACACUGAACAAUAAUUUUGUUCAGUGUUUGUUGUCUGUACAUUUGUAUUACUAGUCUUGUACUUUUACAGAAUAUUAUCAAUUUCAUUUCAAAACACAGAGUUAAAGAAUAAUUCAAAGUUGCAAUCCCUUUCAUAUAUAAUAAAAUAUAUCCUCUAA